ensembl:lncRNA
AUGUGCUACUUGGAACGUUAUUUCAGCCUCAGCUCACCAGCUUUCCAAUUUGGGCAAAGCAAGUACCUCCUCCCUGCCAUCAGCAGGAACCAAAUAAAAAUGAAUCAUUACAGCAUGAAUCUCUUUUUCAUGAUCGACCAAGAAGCACAGUGAGGUCCAAUUAAGGACAACAUUGGCAUUAAAUUUUGUUAAAUAACGUAUAGGGAAGGCCCAUGUGCUACUUGGGCGUUAUUUCAGCCUUCGCUACUCCUUUAGAGAGUUUAUGAGGAUGCUCUUAGAUGAAAUGCAGCCACAGGUUUUCAGGUUAUUUCAGUCUGUAGGGUAGGCUGUGAUGCACAGAAUGAAUAGAAACUGGAAUCUUCUUUCUUUGAAUCCCUUCUGCAUUUCACACAUGUUUAAAUAGAAAUAGGUACAUAUGAUUUCCCAAUUCUGUUGACUAGAUUUAGGAAGAUGGUGGCCUCACUUUUUAUUUUAUCAGUGCCUGGCAAAGGCAAUAGAAUAAACACUAGGUAACAGAGUAUCACAACUUUUUUUUGCAAGUUUAACUGAUAGCACCUAAUCCAACUGUAAAUAUAAUUACAAAUAAGGUUCUGAGCACCAACUCACUAAUCGGUGCCAUGUUUUCCUUUUUCUUGUUUUUAAAGGUUUUAUUUUGUUCCUUUUUCAUAUCUUUAAGUAGUUCACGAAUUUAAUCUUGAAGGAGAGUUAGAGAAAAUUUUAAGAUUUUACUACGUGUAUUCAACCCGCCUAGAUAGAUCUUCAACUGACACUGAAGCAAGGUGUAGAGUCUAGUUCAUGACUAUUUCUUACAGUUCACAAUUUAAGAACAAAGUUAACUUUAUAUACAAAUAAUAAUUUUUAACUAAUUAUAUUUAGUUGUUGCUUCAGCAACAAACCUACAACAUGGCUACCUUUAGACAUUUUUGUGUGUGUGAAAAUUUUACUUGUAAAACUGUGGCUUUUUUGACAGUGUAGCAUGUAGCAGAUACAACUCAAAGCGCAGAUAUAGAUAUGGUUGAUUUUUCUUUUUAAUCCCAAAGUUCCCUGUGAAAACUGAAUUUGCGUCCUUCUGUGACUUUUUGAGCAAAAAGUUUACAACAUGUGGAUUCUAGAUCAGGCUUUAGAGCUGAUAGAAUUUGUUGUGUGGAUAGGGUUAUUCCACAGUAUUUAGACACAAUUGUAUUCAUAAUACGUCCUGAUCUCUUUUUAUGACCUUAUUCAAAAUUACUCAAGUGGCAUAGCUGUAGCUACAAAAAUUUUCUUACUCAAAUCUAUCCAAAGGAGGGUUAAAGAAUGACAAAAGCGCAGAUUACAUUCAUUCACGUUGGUGAACUCAUUCAUACAGAUACUGUGGAAUGACCCCAUAACAGUGUUGAAGAGACAUAUGCUGCAGUUAACUGAUGGUCUCAGUUAGGGUGCGAACGUGUGAGACACACCUUUUUUGCACUUAUGUACAUAGUUCAUGAAAGUGACCCUUGGAGUUUUUUUUUUUUAAUAUAAGAAGUCUGUGAUAAUAGUGGAAAAGUUAGUAAGAGAGAGUUAUUUCUAAGACUUUGAGAAGAAGGUGUUUUUUCUUUCCUACAAGACUUAACUAAAGCAUGAUGUUGCUUUCCUGUUGUGGAGGCUUUCUAGUUUGCUACGGCUCACCAUAAGACAAGACUGGUGGCAGGUAACAGGUCAGCUUCAGCCAGUGGCACUAAACAAAAGUUCAUGUACUUCACCUUUUAGCAAGAUCGCUAGCAAAGAUUGUUUUGUGAAUUAAUCCUCAAAUGCACACACAACCCCAGGCAGGUUUGUGGUGCUAAGGUCUUUUUUCAAUGGUUACAAGCAGUGAAGUACCUUGUAAGCUGCAAGAUGGAUAUUCCCAUUCUGAUCCAAUUAGAUUUCAUCUUUCACAGAAAAUGAUCAAUUGAGAUAUAUCGGUUACAUCAAUUAAUAUAUAUUUAUGUGACAAUCAAAUUGUUAACCCGGCCACUAUUUCCCUUCAAGAUCCAGAAGCCAAAAGCGCAGAUUACAUUCAUUCACGUUGGUGAACUCAUUCAUACAGAUACUGUGGAAUGACCCCAUAACAGUGUUGAAGAGACAUAUGCUGCAGUUAACUGAUGGUCUCAGUUAGGGUGCGAACGUGUGAGACACACCUUUUUGCACUUAUGUACAUAGUUCAUGAAAGUGACCCUUGGAGUUUUUUUUUUUAAUAUAAGAAGUCUGUGAUAAUAGUGGAAAAGUUAGUAAGAGAGUUAUUUCUAAGACUUUGAGAAGAAGGUGUUUCUUUCCUACAAGACUUAACUAAAGCAUGAUGUUGCUUUCCUGUUGUGGAGGCUUUCUAGUUUGCUACGGCUCACCAUAAGACAAGACUGGUGGCAGGUAACAGGUCAGCUUCAGCCAGUGGCACUAAACAAAAGUUCAUGUACUUCACCUUUUAGCAAGAUCGCUAGCAAAGAUUGUUUUGUGAAUUAAUCCUCAAAUGCACACACACAACCCCAGGCAGGUUUGUGGUGCUAAGGUCUUUUUUCAAUGGUUACAAGCAGUGAAGUACCUUGUAAGCUGCAAGAUGGAUAUUCCCAUUCUGAUCCAAUUAGAUUUCAUCUUUCACAGAAAAUGAUCAAUUGAGAUAUAUCGGUUACAUCAAUUAAUAUAUAUUUAUGUGACAAUCAAAUUGUUAACCCCGGCCACUAUUUCCCCUUCAAGAUCCAGAAGCCAAAACCAAAUUGGCAACUAUUGAAAGAUAUAAUUUAACAGUUAAGUAUGGCCAGCACAGAGCAUUUGAUCCCCUCCAACAAAGGGAAAAAAAUGUUCCUGACACAAUUUUAUAUUUACUUUAUACCUGUUCAGUGGAAGCUAUUUUCUGACUUAGCUUUAGCAGAUUAGACAGUACUUCACUGUGCCACUUCAGCCUCCUACUCUUUUAAUGAAACAGAAGAGAACCAGCCAAAAUCUUACAUAUUAAUACACUGGAGCUAGAAAAGAAUGUCAGACCAUCUCUUUCAGCUCCCGCGUCACCUACAAAUCACCAUUUAUCUUUUUGUUGCCUCCAGGCAAUGAGGCUUAGAAAAAGGUCAAGAUUAGAAAGGUUUAAGGAUAGAUCAUCAUACAGACUUUGAGUCCUUCCCAUCUUGAGACCCGUUGCCCUUGCCCUGGAAAAGGAGCCCAUCUUGGGGUUGACAGAGUUGGUGUUAGUAUUGUUACUGAUCUUGAUAGUUCUCACUUACAGAGACAUGAAAAUAAGCCAAAGCCAGAAAGCAAUCCAAGCCUUACAGUUGUCCAAUAGCUCAGGGCCAGUUGGUCAGAAAUUUGUUCCCCCCCACCCCCCACUUCAAUCCAUGAUCACUUACAGCUAACAGCCUGACCAUCUGAUCAGCAUUUCCAUUGAUGUAAAAUGUAAGCAUUCAUUCAUUUUGUAGUUACCACCAACGUAUUUUCCCAGCUUAACCCAUGUUCUUGUGUUAAUAUUUCCUUGUGAAAAUAUAAGCCACACGGAUAUAUUUUCAUAAGGUCAAUAGAAAUAUAGUAAGAUUUUAAGUUAGGCAGAAUCAACUAUAAAAUAGUAAGAGUGAACCUAGAAGCAUCACAAAAGAUAAUCAGUUCACUGAUGGCAUGUUGUACGUACUGACAGCCACCGGGUCACAUUCUUUGGAGCUUAAACACAGUGCUGUCUUUUGAGUAAGUAAAAUUAGAGGAUAAAAGGACCUCUGUUAAACCCAGAAAAGGAUUUAGUUUCGUUAAUUCAGUUUCCACCCGCUACACUUCUUCCCUGGAAGAGAACUACCCAUCAACACCCCAAAGCAGGAUUAUCCCAGAGGCAUUUUCUCUUUAACCAUCCUCAAUUAUAGCAUACUUAGGAAAUGUAUCACUGUGAAAUAAAUCAAGCUGCAUCGUAUUACUUUAGUUGUUUUAAGAAAAAACCUCUAUAAAAUAACCCAACUUUAAGCAGUCCUCUUUCCCCACACACAACCUAAGCA